AAUCAACGCUGGCGGCGUGCCUCAGACAUGCAAGUCGAACGCGAAAGUCCCCUUCGGGGGAGUGAUUAGAGUGGCGCACGGGUGAGUAACACGUAGGUAAUCUACCUUCGAGUGGGGAAUAACUCAGGGAAACUUGAGCUAAUACCGCAUAAUGCAGCGGCACCACAUGGUGACAGUUGUUAAAGCAUUUAUGCGCUUGAAGAGGAGCCUGCGGCGGAUAGCUAGUUGGUAAGGUAAUGGCUUACCAAGGCUACGAUCUGUAACCGGCCUGAGAGGGCGGACGGUCACACUGACACUGAAUAACGGGUCAGACUCCUACGGGAGGCAGCAGUCGGGAAUUUUGGGCAAUGGGCGAAAGCCUGA
rnacentral:rRNA from 1 species